UUGGUGGGGUAACGGCCCACCAAGGCCAUCACCAAUAGGGGAAUUGAGUAGGUUCAUCCCCCACACGGGAACUGAGACACGGUCCAGAACCCUACGGGAGGCAGCAGUGGGAGAAUCUUGGUCAAUGGAGGCAACUAAGAACCAGCCACGUCGCGUGAAGGAUGAAGGCGAAGGGGGUAGUAAAUUUGUUUUUAGGGGGAAUAAACGGGGUCACGGGUGACCCUUGGCACGUACCCCGCGAAUAAGGAUCGGCUAACUCCGUGCCAGCAGCCGCGGUAAUACGGAGGAUCCGAGCGUUAUCCGGAUUUAUUGGGUUUAAAGGGUGCGCAGGCGGGUUGUUAAGUCGGUGAAGAAAUCCCGGGGCUCAACCCCUGGCUUGCCAUAGAAACUGGUUACCUUGAGUGAGGGGGAGGCAGGAGGAAUUGGUGGUGUAGCGAAGAAAUGCAUAGAUAUCACGAGGAACUCCGAUCGGGUAGGCAGCUUGCCAUUCCAUAACUGACGGUCAUGCAAGAAGGGGUGGGGAUCAAACAGGAUUAGAUACCCUGGUAGUCCACGCGGUAAACUAUGAUUACUGGUGUUGGCGAUACACUUGAGCGAGGAGCGAAAGC
rnacentral:rRNA from 1 species